AACGAACGCUGGCGGCAUGCCUAACACAUGCAAGUCGAACGAAGCCUUCGGGCUUAGUGGCGCACGGGUGCGUAACACGUGGGAAUCUGCCCUUCGGUUCGGAAUAACAGUUAGAAAUGACUGCUAAUACCGGAUGAUGACGAAAGUCCAAAGAUUUAUCGCCGAAGGAUGAGCCCGCGUAGGAUUAGGUAGUUGGUAGGGUAAUGGCCUACCAAGCCGACGAUCCUUAGCUGGUCUGAGAGGAUGAUCAGCCACACUGGGACUGAGACACGGCCCAGACUCCUACGGGAGGCAGCAGUGGGGAAUAUUGGACAAUGGGCGAAAGCCUGAUCCAGCAAUGCCGCGUGAGUGAUGAAGGCCUUAGGGUUGUAAAGCUCUUUUACCAGGGAUGAUAAUGACAGUACCUGGAGAAUAAGCUCCGGCUAACUCCGUACCAGCAGCCGCGGU
rnacentral:rRNA from 1 species